AUGUCACGGGGAGGCAGCCAAUCCUGGUGGGGCCGCGCCGCCCGCCCCGGGCCGGCCACCCAACUGCGACGCGCGGGGGGCACCACCGGGGCGUCGGGGACCCCGACUGCGGCGCCCCUCCCGGGAGCCGGCCGGCAGCUCCGCGCUCGGCCCCGGCGGGGGCACCGCCCACGGUGGGCAGGGCGGCCUAGCGGGGGGCGCUGCCCUCCGGGAGGCUGGGCUGGGGGCGGGGUGGGGUGUCCGCGUUGUCAUGGGGACGCGGCGCCCCCUCGCGGGCCGGGGAGGGAGCUGGCAGUCCCGUCUGGCUGCGCUCUCCGCCUCCGCUCUGACCGAGCACCGGACCUGGAGGUGGUGUCGCGCCUCGCCCGGCCGCUCUCUCCGCAGGGCCCCGCUCACACGGGGGCCUCGGAGGCGCGAACGCUUGACCCCAGCAAGAGGUCACGGGUGGGUGGGGUCGGCUCGGUCGCCACGGUUCCGUCGGGGCAGGGAGCCGAGCGCUGGCAGUUUGCAGCCCCAGGGCCGCCGGUCCGGCCGCCGGGCUGCGGGAGAAGAGGGGCGCCGUCGGGGCCGGGGAAGGAGCCGGAGAGAGAAGGCAGGCAACAGUCCGCCGGCGGGAGAGGAGCCCGCCCGUCGCACACAACCCUGGCCCGGCCCCCACCCCGCCGCCCGGCUCCCCGCUCCCGGCCUCCAGGCGGGGAAAGGGUGCGCGUCCCCGUCCUCCCUCCAGCCGCGGCCUGGAGGGCGAGUUCACCGAUGCCUGUGAGGGGAGGCCGAGGGCCCAAGGUCACCCGGGGCGGAGCCGGGAGCGGGACCUCAGGGCGAGCAGCCGGUCUCUUGAGGUGUCCGGGAACCGCACGGGUCGGGGCCUGGGGACUUGGGGCCUUGCCUGUGCGGGGCGGGAGGGCCCGGGAGUCCGCGGCGGGUGGCUUCAGCACCUCGGAGAGCUCCGCCUCGUCCCUGACCUUGCCCGCCCGCUCCGCACCACCAGGCACCCGCCUCCAUCCGAGACGGCCCUUCCAGGGGUCCGCCAGGGUCGGGGGUGUCCCCCCCCCGCCCAGGCCCUGA
rnacentral:lncRNA from 1 species